rnacentral:tRNA from 1 species
AUAUCAGAUAGUGUAAAGCAUUUCCCCUUUUGGGGGGGAAGGAAAAACUGAUAAA